AACGAACGCUGGCGGCAGGCCUAACACAUGCAAGUCGAGCGAGAAGCCAUCUUCGGAUGGUGGACAGCGGCGGACGGGUGAGUAAUGCGUGGGUAUAUGCCCUUUGGUACGGAAUAGCCCCUGGAAACGGGAGUAAUACCGUAUGUGCCCUACGGGGGAAAGAUUUAUCGCCAAAGGAUUAGCCCACGUUGGAUUAGCUAGUUGGUGAGGUAAAGGCUCACCAAGGCGACGAUCUAUAGCUGGUUUGAGAGGAUGAUCAGCCACACUGGGACUGAGACACGGCCCAGACUCCUACGGGAGGCAGCAGUGGGGAAUAUUAGACAAUGGGGGAAACCCUGAUCUAGCCAUGCCGCGUGAGUGAAAGAGGCCCUAGGGUUGUAAAGCUCUUUCAGAUGUGAGGAUGAUGACAGU
rnacentral:rRNA from 1 species